rnacentral:rRNA from 1 species
CUACGUGCCAGCAGCCGCGGUAAUACGUAGGUCCCGAGCGUUGUCCGGAUUUAUUGGGCGUAAAGCGAGCGCAGGCGGUUAGAUAAGUCUGAAGUUAAAGGCUGUGGCUUAACCAUAGUACGCUUUGGAAACUGUUUAACUUGAGUGCAAGAGGGGAGAGUGGAAUUCCAUGUGUAGCGGUGAAAUGCGUAGAUAUAUGGAGGAACACCGGUGGCGAAAGCGGCUCUCUGGCUUGUAACUGACGCUCAUGUGCGAAAGCGUGGGGAGCAAACAGGAUUAGAUACCCUGGUAGUCCACGCUGUAAACGAUGUCGAUUUGGGGGUUGAACUUUAAGUUUGGCGCCCGUAGCUAACGUGAUAAAUCGACCGCCUGGGGAGUACGGCCGCAAGGUUAAAACUCAAAUGAAUUGACGGGGGCCCGCACAAGCGGUGGAGCAUGUGGUUUAAUUCGAUGCAACGCGAAGAACCUUACCUACUCUUGACAUCCAGAGAACAUUC